UGGCUCAGAUUGAACGCUGGCGGCAGGCUUAACACAUGCAAGUCGAGCGGAGCGAGGGUGCUUGCACCUUAGCUUAGCGGCGGACGGGUGAGUAAUGCUUAGGAAUCUGCCUAUUAGUGGGGGACAACAUUCCGAAAGGAAUGCUAAUACCGCAUACGCCCUACGGGGGAAAGCAGGGGAUCUUCGGACCUUGCGCUAAUAGAUGAGCCUAAGUCGGAUUAGCUAGUUGGUGGGGUAAAGGCCUACCAAGGCGACGAUCUGUAGCGGGUCUGAGAGGAUG
rnacentral:rRNA from 1 species